CAGCAUCAUUUGGAAUAAAUGAAACUACCUUCGACAGGCUUGUGAAUCAACAACGCGAAUCGGUUAUCUUAGAAUGCACCUCCUGCGCAGAGGAAGAAUGGAGGAUAAUGGAGGAAGAGAUUGAGAGGGAAAGAGAGGAGGCAAGGCAGAGGGAAGAGGAGGCAAGGAAGAGGGAUGAAGAGAGGAAAAGACAGGAAGAGGAAGCUGAGACGAGAGAAGAGGAGGAGGCAGCUAGGGAGAGAGCAGAGGAGGAAAGGAAGAAGAGAGAGCAAGAAGAAGAGGAAGAGGCGGCACGGAGAAAGAGAGAGGAAGAGGCAGCACGAGAAAGGAGGGAACAAGAGGAAAGAGAACAAGAAGCAGCACAGAUGGAAGAGAAAGAAAGGGAAGCAGCUAAGCGAGAGGAAGAAGAAGCAGCACAAAGAAGACAAGAAGAAG
rnacentral:lncRNA from 1 species